GCAGUCACAACACGUAUUUUCUGUCUCUCUCUGCAGCGUCCCUGAUCUUCAUCAUCUGGACUACAAAGACCUUCCAUCUUGCCACCUGCCAAUCUGACUGGCGGGAACUCUGGAUCGACGACGCUUUCUGGCGGUUCCUCUUUUCCAUCAUCCUGCUGGUGAUCAUGUUCCUCUGGAGACCCUCUGCCAAUAAUCAAAGAUACGCCUUCAUGCCUCUGGUGGACGAGGGCAGCGAGCAGGAGGAAGAGGAAGAGGAGCAGGUGGUCAACGAAGUCUUCGGUAAGCCUCGGCUGGCGGUCUCCU